rnacentral:ncRNA from 1 species
GGUAAUCGGAGAUGUCGAGGUUCUCCGGAUGGAUCCGGAGCUAAGAGGGAAGCCGGUGCGAUGCCGGCGCUGCCCCGCAACUGUAAGCGGCGAGCCGCUGUCCAAUAGAAGCCACUGAAGCCACGCGGCUUUGGGAAGGUCGGAUAGCGGCGACGACCCGCGAGCCAGGAGACCUGGCCCGACAAUAUAUUCGUC